CUACGGGCGGCAGCAGUGGGGAAUAUUGGACAAUGGGGGAAACCCUGAUCCAGCAAUGCCGCGUGUGAAGAAGGCCUGCGGGUUGUAAAGCACUUUCGGUUGGGAGGACUGCUUCUAGCACUAAUAUUGUUGGAAGUUGACGUUACCUUCAGAAGAAGCACCGGCUAACUCCGUGCCAGCAGUCGCGGUAAUACGGAGGGUGCAAGCGUUAAUCGGAAUUACUGGGCGUAAAGCGCGCGUAGGCGGCUAGAUCAGUCGGGUGUGAAAGCCCCGGGCUUAACCUGGGAACUGCAUCCGAUACUGUCUAGCUUGAGUACAGGAGAGGAGAGUGGAAUUCCACAUGUAGCGGUGAAAUGCGUAGAUAUGUGGAGGAACACCAAUGGCGAAGGCAGCUCUCUGGCCUGAUACUGACGCUGAGGUGCGAAAGCGUGGGGAGCAAACAGGAUUAGAUACCCCUGUAGUC
rnacentral:rRNA from 1 species